rnacentral:rRNA from 1 species
GAUGAACGCUGGCGGCGUGCCUAAUACAUGCAAGUCGAGCGAACAGACGAGGAGCUUGCUCCUCUGACGUUAGCGGCGGGCGGGUGAGUAACACGUGGAUAACCUACCUAUAAGACUGGGAUAACUUCGGGAAACCGGAGCUAAUACCGGAUAAUAUAUUGAACCGCAUGGUUCAAUAGUGAAAGACGGUUUUGCUGUCACUUAUAGAUGGAUCCGCGCCGCAUUAGCUAGUUGGUAAGGUAACGGCUUACCAAGGCGACGAUGCGUAGCCGACCUGAGAGGGUGAUCGGCCACACUGGAACUGAGACACGGCCCAGACUCCUACGGGAGGCAGCAGUAGGGAAUCUUCCGCAAUGGGCGAAAGCCUGACGGAGCAACGCCGCGUGAGUGAUGAAGGUCUUCGGAUCGUAAAACUCUGUUAUUAGGGAAGAACAAAUGUGUAAGUAACUAUGCACGUCUUGACGGUACCUAAUCAGAAAGCCACGGCUAACUACGUG